UUCUUCAAUGCGAACACAUCUCCAGAGUAUCUCCAGUUAGGAUGGUUCUCCCUCUCGGCCUGCUGCCAAGAGAGAGACCAGAUGGAGCCUUUCUCUACUAAGAAGACUCCAGAUGUACAUAUUUGUAACUUUUCUACGUAAACCUGCCUUUCUGAGAUUACGCUGUUAACUCAGGAUGUCAUGGGUACUUCUACGAUGCUUCUAAAAAAUUCCCACUGAUGUGAGCUGGAACUCGGCACGGUUCCUGCCCCUCACCCCAACACACCUUUUCGCAUGAAGGCUGACACAGUUUGGUCAAAGAUCAAAGACGCUACCUGUACUCACGUUUUCCUGCAAGGAAGUUCUCCAGAAACUCAUCCCAGUUUCCUGGCUCUGGCAUCCCCUUGUUCAUGCGGUGGAAAUGGAAGUAGGAGACUGCAUUGUCCUUGGCGUUCCUGGCAAC